UAGCUCAGCUGGAUAGAGUACCUGGCUACGAACCAGGCGGUCAGAGGUUCGAAUCCUCUCGGACGCGCCA
rnacentral:tRNA from 1 species